UCAUUUUAUUUGCUAGAAGAAUUCAAAUUGCAUUAUAAAAAUGAAAAAAUGCCUGGGAGAAUAUAUAAGCAUUCCUCUUUAACCUUUGUAGUAGCUUAUAGGACUUGAAAAAAGAAAACAUCAUUCUCAUCUUAGGGAAGGCAAGGAGAAGGAUCCAGCUAUGGGCUGCUCAACCUCACCUCGAUCCUCAUAAGAUGAUGUAGAAGGUAUUCUUGGGUCACUUCAUCAAAUACCGUUCUACUGGUUCUACAGGAGUGGCAAGACAUGGGCAGCUACUCCUGCCCUUAGAUAAUACUUCAACCAGCAUAUGCUCUGUGAAGGUUAGGAAUUGGAAUGACUGCGUGCCAGGUGCCCAUGGUAUUUUCAGAAAGAAUGCUCUAUGAGUUCCUUGUAAGCACACAGAGGUGGAUGAGCCACCAGCAGCUGGGCAAUGCAAAAGCAAAGUCAGUACAACUCAUUUUCUGCUUCCAACCUGAAGAGCUUGUUAGCCACUUCCAGCCAUACCUGUCCAACAAAAAAGUACUGCCUUCCUAUAACACAUGUGCAUCUUAAAAAAAAAAAAGCAACAAAACUCAGUCUAGAAGAUUAAUGAAUUGUA